AGCUCCAAUAGCGUAUAUUAAAGUUGUUGCAGUUAAAAAGCUCGUAGUUGGAUUUGUGGUUGUCACGAGGGAUCCUGCAUUCGUGCGGGUAUCUCAUUGUGUCGCCAUCCUUGGGUGGAAUCUGUGUGGCAUUAGGUUGUCGUGCAGGGGAUGCCCAUCGUUUACUGUGAAAAAAUUAGAGUGUUCAAAGCAGGCUUAUGCCGUUGAAUAUAUUAGCAUGGAAUAAUAAGAUAGGACCUUGGUACUAUUUUGUUGGUUUGCGCACCAAGGUAAUGAUUAAUAGGGACAGUUGGGGGUAUUCGUAUUCCAUUGUCAGAGGUGAAAUUCUUGGAUUUUUGGAAGACGAACUACUGCGAAAGCAUUUACCAAGGAUGUUUUCAUUAAUCAAGAACGAAAGUAG
rnacentral:rRNA from 1 species